rnacentral:rRNA from 1 species
GUUGCGAGCUUAAGGUCUUAAGGACUGGAGGCGUAGCGAGAGCGAGUCUAAACAGGGCGUUUAGUAGCGUGCAAUGGGCCCGAAACCGGGUGACCUACCCAUGAUCAGGCUGAAGUGAAAGUAAAAUUUCAUGGAGGGCCGAACCGACCUCCGUUGAAAAGGCGGCGGAUGAAUUGUGGGUAGCGGAGAAAUUCCAAUCGAACUCGGAGAUAGCUGGUUCUCCCCGAAAUAGCUUUAGGGCUAGCCUCAUGUUAGAUAUCCGGAGGUAAAGCACUGAAUGGCCUAGCGUCCGAGAGGAUAGCGAAGCCUAUCAAACUAAGAAUGCCGGAAUAUUGAUGCAUGGGAGUCAGACAGUGUGAGAUAAAUCUCAUUGUCAAAAGGGAAACAGCCCAGAUCUACAGCUAAGGUCCCAAAUUGUAUCUAAGUGGAAAACGAUGUGGAAAUACGCAGACAACCAGGAUGUUGGCUCAGAAGCAGCCACUCAUUUAAAGAGUGCGUAAUAGCUCACUGGUCGAGCGUCUCUGCGCGGAAAAUUUAACGGGGCUAAGAUACAAACCGAAGCUUAGGCUGCACUUUUAGUGCGGGGUAGGGGAGCGUUGUGUAAGCGGAGAAACAGUAGCGGAAGCGGCUGUGGAGUUUACAGAAGUGAGAAUGCCGGAAUGAGUAGCGCGAAUGAUGUGAGAAUCAUCAUGGCCGGAAACCUCAGGUUUUUGGAGGAAGGUUCGUCCGCUCCAAGUUAGGCGGGAGCUAAGGUGAGGCCGAAAGGCGUAGCCGAUGCACAGACGGUAGAGAUUCCGUCCCCACCGAAAGAUUUAAGCGCAGGGACACUUUUAGAAGGUCGGAGCCAGGUGUUGGUUCUGGUAGAGAUCGAGGGAAGAUUAGUACCGAAGUCCGGCUGGAUAAGAGGCGAGAAAAGCUGCGUGUAUAUCUAAGGUGCCCGUACCGCAAACCGACACAGGUAGGUAGGAAGAAGAUUCUAAGGCCAACGGGAGAAGGGUUGUUAAGGAACUCGGCAAGUUGACCCCGUAACUUCGGAAUAAGGGGUGCUCAUGAAAGUGAGCCGCAGAGAAUAGGCCCAGGCAACUGUUUACCAAAAACACAGGUUUGUGCUAAAUCGAAAGAUGACGUAUACGAGCUGACGCCUGCCCGGUGCUGGAAGGUUAAAAGGAGAUGUGCAAGCAUUGAAUUGAAGCCCCAGUGAACGGCGGCCGUAACUAUAACGGUCCUAAGGUAGCGAAAUUCCUUGUCAGGUAAGUUCUGACCCGCAUGAAAGGCGUAAUGAUCUGGGCACUGUCUCAACAGCCCGCCCGGCGAAAUUGUAGUACCGGUGAAGAUGCCGGUUACCCGCGACAAGACGGAAAGACCCCAUGGAGCUUUACUGUAGCCUAAUAUUGGGUUUCGGUGUUGCAUGCACAGGAUAGAUGGGACGCUAGGAAGUGAGUGCUUUGGCAUUCAUGGAGCGGCCGUUGGGAUACCAUCCUUGCGACAUUGGAAUUCUAACCUGCGCCUUUGAAUC